rnacentral:rRNA from 1 species
GAUGAACGCUGACAGAAUGCUUAACACAUGCAAGUCUAUGAGAAGAUCUACUUCGGUAGAAGGUAUCAUGGCGGACGGGUGAGUAACGCGUAAAGAACUUGCCUCUUAGACUGGGAUAACAGAUGGAAACGUCUGAUAAGACUAGAUAUAAUAAUGACAUGGCAUCAUGUUGUUAUGAAAGGUAACACUAAGAGAGAGCUUUGCGUCCUAUUAGUUAGUUGGUGAGGUAAUGGCUCACCAAGACGAUGAUAGGUAGCCGGCCUGAGAGGGUGAGCGGCCACAAGGGGACUGAGAUACGGCCCUUACUCUUACGGGAGGCAGCAGUGGGGAAUAUUGGACAAUGGAGGAAACUCUGAUCCAGCAAUUCUGUGUGCACGAUGAAGGUUUUCGGAUCGUAAAGUGCUUUCAGUAGGGAAGAAGAAAGUGACGGUACCUACAGAAGAAGCGACGGCUAAAUACGUGCCAGCAGCCGCGGUAAU